ACAUACUGGACCUUCGGAAAUGAAUGUCGAUGUAGUGGUGGUGGGAGGGGGUAUAUCGGGGCUGACUGCAGCUUACCAACUUCAUAAAAAAGAUUCAUCGCUGCAGAUUGUAGUACUAGAGGCUAAAGACAGGGUAGGAGGGCGCACACUAACCUUGCCAUUGAAGACAGCGAACGGGACGGAUAAUUUUGACCUUGGAGGUCAAUGGGUCGGAAGAUGUCAGCCACACAUUAUGGCCAUGUUAGAGGAGUUAGGACUAUCCACCUGUGUCCAAUACCUGGAGGGAAAGAAGUUCAUGCAGCUGGGUAGUGACCAGAUUGGGAGCUAUAGCUCAGAAAUCCCCUCGCUCUCACCCCUAGCACUCAUAGACCUGCAGAGAUUAAUAUACAAGUUCUUAAUUAGGUUUUAAGUAACAUUUGUGAGAUGUAGAUUGACUGUAUUGACAGCUGGAGUGGAUGAGGAAGCAGGUGGACAUCAGGGACCCCUAUCAGAGUGACUAUGGGGCGGAGUGGGACGCCAUCACUAUGGACUCUUUUUUGAAGAACCAGCUGUGGACUACAGGGUGGAGCCCAACAAGUCAGUCAGAAGCUGGCAGCUUGUUUGCCCCAGUCUUGUGUUCUCCUGGAUCACCCAGUCCUAAAAAUUACACAGAGAGACAAUGGUGUGACUGUAAUGACCGAGAAUGGAGACAUCUUCAGCUGUAACAGGCUUGUGCUUGCCACUCCCCCAAACAUGACAAAUAAGAUACAGUUUGAUCCAGUGCUUCCCUCCAGCAGAAGAGAACUGAUGAAGAGAAUGCCAGCUGGAAACCUGACCAAAGUCAUCAUCACGUAUAAAGAGGCUUUUUGGAGAAAAGCUGGGAUAUCUGGAGAAUUUGUCACCAAUGGAGGCCCCAGUCUGAGUUCUGAGUGUGACCGAGGACCACUUUGUAUAGUCUACGAUGGCACCUCAGCUCAAGGAAAUGCUGCCAUUGUGGCAUUUUUGGGAGGUGCACCGGCCAUUCAGUGGAGAAAUCAAAAGGAUGAAAACAGAAAAUCUGCAGUGUUGAAGUCCUUAUCUGAUUUUCUGGGACCAGAGGCUCUGAACUACCUGGACUAUGCUGAAAAAGACUGGGGCCUGGAGCCCUACAGUGAAGGCAGCCCCGUGUGUUCAGUGGGGCCAGGGGCAAUGGCAUACUUUGCCAGGGGUCUUAGACUACCAUUCCAAAGGAUUCAUUUUGCUGGGACAGAGUCCGCCACAGCUUGGUGCGGAUACAUGAGUGGAGCCGUCCAAUCAGGAAUGAGGGCCGCCAACGAGGUUCUCUUCCAUCUGCGACCUCAGGCUUUGACCGCACAAGAACUUGCCAUGACAGCUUAUGGACCAUCCACUCAACUGCUGCGAACAAAACGAAAACAGAGGUCAAGGACAUUAAUCAAGGUCACUCUUGGAAUUGGAUUUGUGGUUGCUGUGGUGAUAGUAGGGAAACGAAUUACUAACCUUGUUAAUGAAAAGUUUACAGAUUCAGUUUCAAAAGUCAUAAUCAUGUAAAAUGGUGACUGAAUCUUUGUGUUUGAAUGAUGUAUCUGAAAUUGAUCUUGAGGUCUUGUGAAUGUGAUUGACCAGUCGAUCAGGUAAUGUGUGAUUUACCAUACUUUCCAUGAUUUAAAUUCAUGUAAUAAAAUGAUGUAGUUGUACAAAAUACCUGAUUUAAAAAAAUAGUGCCAAAUCUUUUAUUCUGUUGUGAAAUAAACAUGUCAAUGUAUGUAAUAACAUUCCAAUUUUUCAAACCAAAAACUUCAUCCAUUUAAACCAUCAUAAGUUUUUUUAAUAUGACAAUUAUGGGGUUUUUUUUAAUAUGACAACCAUGCAAUUUUCUGUGUGCAAAACAAAGAUGUACAAUGAUAAUAACUAUAAAUUAUUUACAACUAAAUUUUCUCUUUUAAAAUUUUGCACAUAUUUAAUGGAAAUGCAUACAUGUACUGAUUAUGGAAAUUAAAAAUGUUUUAGAUCAUAUAUUGUAUACAAAAAUCUGUUGUAUGUUUUGUUUUCUUGUGCUGUCUACCAUCUUGAAGUCAAUCAUUUUCUCUUGCUGCGAGUCGAACAGAUGAAAUAUAUUAAAUGCUGAACCAUAUAUAGUAAUUGAUAUAAUAACUUAAUUUGUGUUGAUUUAAAUAUGAUUGUUUGUUUUUUAAAUGGAGAAUUAAAUAUGUUAAUAUAUCAGUAUUUGUAUGCUAUGUUCAUACUGUAAAUGCAAGUUGGUGAAUAAAUUAAAUGAAUU
rnacentral:misc_RNA from 1 species